UCCUUCCCUGCAGUUUCUGCCUCAAUCCCCACUUCUCUGCGCUGGGAGACCUUGGUUCAGCUCUUCAGAACUGUCAUUAAAUCCUUUCUGAAGGUUCGGACUAACCCAAGAAUGGCCUGCCUGACCAGUUCGAUGGCUCUCUCCUGGCUAAUUAUUUGACUGUUCUUUUGAGUAAACACCGUACGGUGAGAACCCAAAAGAGAAGGCUGCUUGGAGGCUACCAGCCACAUCUGCUUUGACUCGGUUGAAUUGUCCUUGGGUCAAAGGAACGGGGGCCCAACACCAAGCUACCAGUGAUGGCAGAAGAAAGGACACUUCGUCGCCAUGCUUGAUCUAGCAUGUGGCGUGUGCAGAACUGGUUCGAAGAGAUUCUACUAUGGUGGUUUUGUAGACCUGUGUAGGCACACCGACAGGUCAGGUGCGGUGUAUGGAGUUCCACCUAGAAGUCUUCAAUGCAGCAAAAGACAAACCUGAAAGGAG